rnacentral:rRNA from 1 species
GAUGAACGCUGGCGGCGUGCCUAACACAUGCAAGUCGAGCGAUUUACUUCGGUAAAGAGCGGCGGACGGGUGAGUAACGCGUGGGUAACCUGCCCUGUACACACGGAUAACAUACCGAAAGGUAUGCUAAUACGAGAUAAUAUGCUUUUAUCGCAUGGUAGAAGUAUCAAAGCUCCGGCGGUACAGGAUGGACCCGCGUCUGAUUAGCUAGUUGGUAAGGUAACGGCUUACCAAGGCGACGAUCAGUAGCCGACCUGAGAGGGUGAUCGGCCACAUUGGAACUGAGACACGGUCCAAACUCCUACGGGAGGCAGCAGUGGGGAAUAUUGCACAAUGGGCGAAAGCCUGAUGCAGCAACGCCGCGUGAGCGCUGAAGGCCUUCGGGUCGUAAAGCUCUGUCCUCAAGGAAGAUAAUGACGGUACUUGAGGAGGAAGCCCCGGCUAACUACGUGCCAGCCGCCGCGGUAA